UUUGUGACCACAGUGAAGUCUUCAUAAAGGGACAGCUGGCCCAAAGGAGGGGAGAUCCUACAGAUAAAAUGAAGAGGAAACUUCUUUGACGGUUCCACGGUGCCGGCCCUGCCCCAUGGGACUGGCUGUGGCUGGAAUGCAGUAUCCAAUUACCACGUGGUCUCAACCCCCGUGUGGGUGGCUGUGUGGUGAGAACCACAGGCAGACGACAGCUGUCCUUCUGUGCAGAGUGGCUCCCCAACCAGACUCUGCGGGGUGUUACAGUGUUCCCUGAGGGAGGUCGCUUCUGAGUGCUGGGGCCACAGACUAAACAGACAAUUAAAACUCAUCUGAGUUUUGGCAGUUUCUCCAAAAGCAUUUCUACUCCUGCUUUUUUGUUUUUUGGUGUAUGCUUUUCAACUUCAAGGAACACACUUUCCUCUGCAAAGGAAUUAUACUGAAUCGCCUAGCCAUUGCACGCAGGCCUCCCCUCUCCUGAAGAUGAACUUGGCAACUGCUUCACCAUGACAUCCUGCACAUCCAGAGAGAUGGCCCUUUUCUUCUUCUUGUGCUACACAGCCUCGCUCUCCUGUAUGAAGGGACGAUGCAGUGUUCACUUCCACCAGACUAGCUCCACUCGAGCCACAGGCUCUCCUCACAUUUCUGCUUGUUUGGGUGGGUAUGAGUAUGCCUCUGUGUGUGUUUGUGUCUCUCUCUGUCUCCCCAAUACCUGUGUGUAUCUCUCUGGGUGUGUGUCUCUUGGAGCUCUCUCUCUCUGUCUCUCACAGUGCCUGUCCAGGUGUGUGUGUGUGUGGGUCUGUAUGCGUAUGUCUCUCUCUAUCACCCUGAUAUCUCUGCACAGCUCUCUCUGGGUUGAUAGACAGGUGAUCCUGCUACUCCAGCAGAGUCAUCGUAUUUUCUUCUUACAUUCGCUGCCAAACUUCUUAAGUUUUUUCUGUAGGUAACUCGUUGUGGAUGGGCCCCCAGGGGCAGCUUCUAUUCUAAACCUGUGUCGUCCUGGAGGCCAGAGUCAGCACAGCCAGCCUGCCUCCAAAAGUACGAGUCCAAGGCCAAAAGUAUUGAAUCCUUCUGAAAGCAUCACUUCAUCAGGUUUGCACUGGACGGAGGAACCGGCCUUGGAAGACCUGCCAUAUCUGCAGCCCCCUUUAAGGACCGGUGCUAUUCCGGUGGAGCUGUGGCACAUGGGCCAGAGCUGAUUGGAUCAAGUGACACCCGACCCGAGGGCUGCCCUUCUGUAGGUCAGCCAGCAUCCUAUGAGGUAGCCCGGCCCAGGAGCCAGUGCUGCCUGAACCAAUCAAAUUCUUCUGCUUAGGGAGUUUGGAUGCAACAUAGAGGGGCAGCCAAGUGGUUGUUAGUGAGAGAAGCAGAAUGAUAAAGAAAAGCAAGGACGGAGAGAUGAUCAGUCUGUGGCGGCAGAGGGAAGUAGGGUCAAUGCACAGCUCCUGGAGAGAAGCUGCAGAUCCAGGGCAAUGUAAAACCCAGAGGCCCCAUCACGGUGCCCCCCACAUCCCCAGUACCUACCUCACCACGCUGGGUUCCUGAUAAAGCUCGUUAAAUGGGCCCGGUGUGCAUUCUCGAAACGCCUCCUUGCCCUGAACCACCUGCCAUGUGUUUUCAUACAGGUGAGUUAGGUGUGCCGCUCAGUGGGGGCUCUGGCACCCUUCCUAGAGUUACAAUCUGUGAAACUGAGGCCCUGCGGGAAGGGUGGAUUGAUGCACAUUUCCAGAUUUGAGGCUGGGAGGAGCCACCACUGCGAGACUUUCCUCCCCAAUCAUGUCCUUCUCAGAGCUUCAGUGAGGACAGUUGUCCCUGCAGUGCCCCGGCAAGAGAAAUCCCAGACCUCUCUGUCUUUGAGUGGUAAGGACCACUCGCAAGCACCCACUAUUUCGUUGGGUCCCAUGAGUCCCCUCCCCUCAACGUCGUACUCUGCUCUGGCCGGGCCAUACAGUUCGAGGGGAGUGAAACUGGAGAAGAAUGUGUGGAAGUUUGUGGCUUUCAUCUCUUAAACAAAUAGCAAAUUCCUCUGGGCUGCGGCUGCUGGAAUUGAACAAUGAUGUGUUCCGGGAGGCGCUAAGGCGUUACCUUGGCAACACCCAGGCUGUUUUCAGGCAAGAUCUAGUUAAAUGGGAAAGAGAACAAAAAUAAUAAAGGGAAGAGUCUGGAUGGGGUCCAGGAAUGGGGGUCUUUGGGCUGAAUGUGUGUGUUUUGUGUUCUGAUGUGUUUGCAGCCUGCCUUUCAGCUGAGUUUCCUCCCGGCUCCCCCAAGCGCGUCCCACGUCUGUGAAAUCGUCUACUAGAAUACUAAUUGGAGGCUAAGAACAGGCAGCGUGCUACGUGGGGGAUGGGUUAGAAAGCGAAAGGCGUCACCACUGUGACCACCUAAUCAGGAAGCGAUGUGCGUGAAGCCUGCCAGGUUGGCUUUUGAAAUCGUGAAGGUCACGGGAGUUACUUCAAACAUGACCCAGAUGCUUGCACCUUAGGCAGUCGGCGGCGUGUACCGUGGCAGUCCAUCAGACCCUUGCCCCUCACAGUGUGGUCCGGGGGCCAGCCACAGAGCAUCACCUGGGAGCUUGAGGAGAUGCAGACGAUCAGGUUGCCCCAGGCCUACCGACCAGGUCUGUGUUUUGACAAGACCCCCAGGUGACUCACAGCACCUACCUUUGUCACGUCAAGGUGGAUUCCUAAAAUAAGGUGGCAGUCCAGUACAAAAGCAGGCAUACCUGGUUUGCUGACAACGCAUUUUGGUGUGUUUGUUUUUUAACAUUGAUUCUUUGUGGUGAUGAUGACAAUGAUGGUGCUGAUGAUGAAGAUGACAUCAGGUACUGUUAUGAGUUGACUUGUGUCCCCACAAAAGGAUAUGUUCAAGUCCUACUAACCCUUGGUACCUGCGAAUGUAACCUAAUUUGGAUAUGAGGUCUUUGCAGAUGCAAGUUAAGUCGAGGUCAUCAGGGUGGACCCUAAUCCAAUGACUGGUGUCCUUAUAAAGGAGAGGGAAAUUUGGAUACAGACACCCAGAGAGAAUAGCAUGUGAUGACACAGGCAGAGAUUGGAAUGACCCUGUCACAAGCCAAGGAACGCCAAGGACUGCGCCAAGGACAUCAGCCAGAAACUAGGAGAGAAGCCUGGAUCAGAUUCUCCUGCUGAGAACGUAAGAAGGAACCAACAAGUUGAUACCUCCGUUUUGGACCUCCUGCCUCCAGAACUGUCAGAAUAUAAAUUUCUGUGGU